UACGUAGGUGGCAAGCGUUGUCCGGAUUUACUGGGCGUAAAGGGCGUGCAGGCGGUCUGUUAAGUGCAGGGUGAAAGCUCCCGGCUCAACUGGGAGAGGUCCUUGCAUACUGGCGGACUUGAGGGGGGUAGAGGAAAGUGGAAUUCCCGGUGUAGUGGUGAUAUGCGUAGAUAUCGGGAGGAACACCUGUGGCGAAGGCGGCUUUCUGGGCCCUACCUGACGCUGAGACGCGAAAGCGUGGGGAGCGAACAGG
rnacentral:rRNA from 1 species